rnacentral:lncRNA from 1 species
AACUUUUAGGACUAACCUCUUUUAGAAAAUGGGAGAGGAGAAGUAGGGUUGCUGCCUAAUGGCAGCAACAGGACCCCAAAAUUUUAUCUGGGCUUGAUUCCUUAUGAUUUUCUGUUAGCUGCAGUUGGUAAGAUAAACAAAUUUUAAGGGAAGCUAUAAUCUAAACCAGGCCAAAAUGAAGGGGACUGCUGCAUAUGAGCAGCAGUAGUUGAUGUCAUGUGACUGCUAAAGUAGUCUACUAACCACCUUGGUAGAGAAUUGAAAUCUUCAAAAAAAAAAAGCAAUCAAAUGAUGUAACUUGAGUAGGUGUUGUAAACAUGUAUACUUUAUAGUAUGCUUACAAGUUGAGAAGAAUAAUGUGAUAAAGAUGAAGUUAUGUGACUGAUUAGCAGUCAACAAUAGAAGUGGCCUCAAUAAACUGCUAUUGCAGUUUUAGGCUUGCCAAAUUCAGUUAAAGCUGAGAAUAACUUAAACUUCAUUAAGAUCCUUAUUGUCAAAACAUAGGAAACUAUUAUGGCAGUCUUGGAAAAGCCAUUUUUGGCUUUAUAGUGCAACUCAAAAACUUUCCCAUCAAGUUCAAAAUUUAAAUAAACAAGUGUGUGGGGCAUGUCUCAAAAUCAUACAUGUAAGUAAAGAGAAAGGAAAUGAAGCUACUGCCUUUAGGCAGUAGCAGGUCACAAAGCAAACAAACUGCUAUGGCAGUUUUAAUUAGAUAAUUGGCCUUGAAAUUAAAAUGUGAAGGAUUAGGCAUAGAAUGAUAUUGGAAAUACCCUUAAUAAGCUACAAAAGCAUUUUUGUAUGCUAGAACUAAAACACUCAUGUGUUAAAAUCCUAAUAAGAUAUAGGCUAUAAACAUGUUGUGUGACACCAUUACUGAGAAAAAUGGUGAAGAUAAGAACAUGGAUGAGAUAUUUGAAAAAUGUAUUAUAUAUAAGAAAUCUAUCCAUGACCACUGAAAUUACGUGAUAUAUGAUUUAACUAUAUGAUUAACAUACUUGAUUAAUGCAAAUAAUAACAGUAAUAUGAUUCCUAUUACUUGUUGCAAGUAUGUCGAACCCAACAAAGUGAAAAUUGACUAAUGUGAAAACAUGGAUGAGAUAUUUGAAAAAUAUAUAAAAUAUAGGAAUCUAACUACAAACUUGACCACUAAAAUUAUGAGAUGUGUGAUCAUACACAAGCUAUGUGGUUUAGCUAAUUAGCUAAUAUGCUUGAAAAUGCAAAUGAUUGUGUAGGCUCUGUGAGAACGUAUUAAGCUGAAUCAAUAGUAUACAAACGAGGCAAGUUUCUAACUCUUUACUCUUUAUUGAGCAAUUACUCUGCAGUGGACAGGUUCUUUAAUUUCUGAACUGUCUGUCCUUAUUUAUGAAUAAUAUAAGGUUAAAAAGCCUUUUUAUUUCAAUUAGCUUCAAAAGAAUAAAAUAUCAACUUUUCUAUCUUAAAUGAGUUUUACCUUGAAAGUAUGUCAAUACCAUUACUUCGGUUAGACAAUUGUUGAGAUAUAUUGAUAUUAUUCAUGAAAUUAUCAAUUAAUGCUUUCCAAACCAUUUUGUUAUUAUGGUAUGGAUUCUUAUAUAAUGAUGUGAACGAACAACCCUUUUAUAGGGGCAUAUUGUACCGGACAUAUGAUUCCGAAGGACAUGUAAAGUGUCAUUAGACUGUUAUGUUGUGCACAAUGUAGGGUACUUAGGCUGAUCCCCUAAAGUACGAGUCUAGGAUAUAAAUCAGCUUUUAUAAACUGUAUGUAUCCAUGAAUUAUAGUAUUAUUACUGUCAAUUCUAGUAAAGAGUUCACUGGUCAUUUGACCUUACAGCAUGCUAAAGUCUAAUUUUUCAGACUCAACACUUUUAAAGAAGUAUCUUGUUCAGUAUUUAUUAUUGAAUCCUCAUUGAUAUAAUAUUUCUGUUCCAUUAUAUUUAGCUACUUAUUUCCUUGCAGAGCAAGCUUGUUGCUCACCCUUGCGCUAAAUAUAAUGUUUUCAGUUAAGAAUGAAGUUGCUGGUCCAUCUGGUAAAGACAAAGGAAAAGACAAAGUUGUGGAAUAGUCUUUAUUAAGCGCAUGUGCUUACUUAAGUAGUAAAUGUAAUAAAUACUGUUAGUAUUAUGUUGUGUAAUGAUAUUUGAUUCGUAAGUUAUGUAAAGGUCUAUAGAACCUGGGAUUUAUGUUAUGUAAUAUAAGACAAUUUUCUUUUAGUAUGAAUGGAUAUAUUAGUAUCGUGAGCACCAAACCCGAGUUAAAGAUAACCCAGAUUUGGGGGCGUCACAAUUGCCCACAAGUAUAAUAAUGUAACAAAAAUAUAAUAACAUGCGAGUGAAUCAAAG